rnacentral:rRNA from 1 species
GAUAAACGCUGGCGGCGUGCAUGGGACAUGCAAGUCGAACGGACGAGCAAGCUUGCUUGCUCGUUAGUGGCGGACGGCUGAGUAACGCGUAGGUGACCUGCCCCGAAGUGGGGAAUAACUGCCCGAAAGGGUGGCUAAUACCGCAUGCGGUGCCGCGUUCGAUCGCGUCACCAAAGCCGCAAGGCGCGUCGGGAGGGGCUUGCGUCCGAUUAGCUCGUUGGUGGGGUAAUGGCUCACCAAGGCGACGAUCGGUAGGUGGUCUGAGAGGACGAUCACCCAGACUGGGACUGAGACACGGCCCAGACUCCUACGGGAGGCAGCAGUCGGGAAUUUUGCUCAAUGGGCGAAAGCCUGAAGCAGCAACGCCGCGUGAGGGAUGAAGGCCUUCGGGUUGUAAACCUCUUUUCUCAGGGACGAUGAUGACGGUACCUGAGGAAGAAGCCACGGCUAACUACGUGCCAGCCGCCGCAGUAACAC